AAUCAACGCUGGCGGCGUGCCUCAGACAUGCAAGUCGAACGAUUAAAGCUCUCUUCGGAGAGUGUAUAGAGUGGCGCACGGGUGAGUAACACGUAAGUAAUCUACCUUUGAGUGGGGAAUAACCCGGGGAAACCCGAGCUAAUACCGCAUAAUGCAGCGGCACCGCAAGGUGACAGUUGUUAAAGGAGCAAUCCGCUUAAAGAGGAGCUUGCGGCAGAUUAGCUAGNGGUAAGGUAAUGGCUUACCAAGGCUUCGAUCUGUAUCCGGCCUGAGAGGGCGGUCGGACACACUGGCACUGAAUAACGGGUCAGACUCCUACGGGAGGCAGCAGUCGGGAAUUUUGGGCAAUGGGCGAAAGCCUGACCCAGCAACGCCGCGUGAAGGAUGAAGUAUUUCGGUAUGUAAACUUCGAAAGAAUGGGAAGAAUCAAUGACGGUACCAUUUAUAAGGUCCGGCUAACUACGUGCCAGCCGCCGCUGUAAG
rnacentral:rRNA from 1 species